GGGGGUGUAGCUCAGUGGUAGAGCGUUCGUUUAGCAUGCGAAAGGCCCCGGGUUCGAACCCCGGCACCUCCA
rnacentral:tRNA from 1 species